CGGGGUGCACCAGGCGCGAAAACUUUACAAUGCCGGCAACGGCGAUAAGGGAACCUCGAGUGCCAGGUUACAAAUCUGGCUGUCGUGAUGCCUAAAAAGCAUUGCAUAGCAAGGGCCGGGCAAGACCGGUGCCAGCCGCCGCGGUAACACCGGCGGCUCGAGUGGUAACCGUUAUUAUUGGGUCUAAAGGGUCUGUAGCCGGCCGGGUAAGUCUCUUGGGAAAUCUGGCAGCUUAACUGUCAGGCUUUCAGGAGAUACUGCCUGGCUCGAGGCCGGGAGAGGUGAGAGGUACUUCAGGGGUAGGGGUGAAAUCUUGUAAUCCUUGAAGGACCACCAGUGGCGAAGGCGUCUCACCAGAACGGACCUGACGGCAAGGGACGAAAGCUAGGGGCACGAACCGGAUUAGAUACCCGGGUAGUCCUAGCCGUAAACGAUACUCGCUAGGUGUCGGCCACGGUGCGACCGUGGUCGGUGCCGCAGGGAAGCCGUGAAGCGAGCCACCUGGGAAGUACGGCCGCAAGGCUGAAACUUAAAGGAAUUGGCGGGGGAGCAC
rnacentral:rRNA from 1 species